rnacentral:rRNA from 1 species
CCUACGGGAGGCAGCAGUGGGGAAUAUUGCACAAUGGGGGGAACCCUGAUGCAGCCAUGCCGCGUGUGUGAAGAAGGCCUUCGGGUUGUAAAGCACUUUCAGUUGUGAGGAAAAGUUAGUAGUUAAUACCUGCUAGCCGUGACGUUAACAACAGAAGAAGCACCGGCUAACUCCGUGCCAGCAGCCGCGGUAAUA